rnacentral:rRNA from 1 species
CCUACGGGUGGCUGCAGUAGGGAAUAUUGCACAAUGGGCGAAAGCCUGAUGCAGCAACGCCGCGUGCGCGAAGAAGGUCUUCGGAUCGUAAAGCGCUUUUCGGGGAGAUGAGGAAGGACAGUAUCCCCGGAAUAAGGCUCGGCUAACUACGUGCCAGCAGCCGCGGUAAAACGUAGGAGCCAAGCGUUAUCCGAAUUCACUGGGCGUAAAGCGCGUGCAGGCGGUCUGGUAAGUUGGAUGUGAAAUCUCCUGGCUCAACUGGGAGAGGCCGUUCAAUACUGUCAGACUAGAGGGCGACAGAGGGAGGUGGAAUUCCGGGUGUAGUGGUGAAAUGCGUAGAUAUCCGGAGGAACACCAGAGGCGAAGGCGACCUCCUGGGUCGUACCUGACGCUCAGACGCGAAAGCUAGGGGAGCGAACGGGAUUAGAUACCCGGGUAGUCAG